UGGUUGUUGGGUUCAAACCACUGACUACCAAGGCCUGCGCCAGAUCACCACCAGGCCUCCUUACAAUAGAGGAUAGUCUCAGGAAUCAAAUGAAACAUGGAAUUUUUGGUUCUUCAGGAAAAGUAGACAACUUAUUUUCAUUUGGGAACAUUAAACUUCAUACUGUUUGUAUUCAAUGAAAUGAAAGUUCAUCGAAUUACCAAUUGAACUUUACACCUUCUACUUGUUAUGGCUACUUGUAAAACCUAAUUUGCUUGAGCAUUUUGAUGUGUUCUCGUUGGUAUUAUCAGGUAGAUGUGGGAGACUCUGCUCAGACCAUGGGGAAGUGAGAGGGUGGGAGCCCAACCUUGGGAUCAAGACUCAUCUAAGCCACUUUGUUCUAUUGAGUAGGGUCAGCUUGGCUGAUCUCUGGAGCCCAAAGAGUCUCUGCCUGUUGUUGUUGUUGUUGUUGUUUUCCUUCAGGCCCUGCAUCUUAAUUUAUUUCUGUUUCCAUCUUUCCUGUCCCUUCAAUGACAAAAAGAAUGGUGGUGGUUUGCUUGUGGGUUGAUACUGUAUGACUGAGUUGUUCUAGUCUGUCCUUCUAUGGAGAAGCCCUAGGGGCGGAAUGGAUCAUGAGUGGCCUGCUGACCAGGCACGCCAAGCGAGAAAGAGUGAUCAUCUUGGAAAUCCACAGGGGCAGUUCUACGCUAUCCUGUAGGGUUGUUAUGAGUCAGAAAUUGACUUGAUUUCAGUACAUACAUUUUUCCAGGGUCAGGUUGUCAGGUCUUUCUUUUGGAUAAUGCGUAUGUAAUUGAACUACCAACCUUACUAAAGAAAUGGCAAUUUGGGCUGAGGGGUGGUAGUUGGAGUUAGACCUAUAGAUUGAGUUCUUCCUAAGUGCCAUAUAUUUUUAAUGUGCUCCUGCAUUUAAUUUUAUAACACACUACCAGACAUAUAUACUCAUUUCCAUUUUAAAGAUAAAAUUUUCAGACUCAGAGAGGUUAUGUUAUAUGCCUAAAGUUCAAUGAUUGAUGGAGUUGUUUUCCAACACAGGCACACAAGUUAGACUUUGAAUUUUCUUGUUUUUCUGCUAAGCCUAAUCAGUACUAGAAUCUGCUCUCUCCUCGCCCUCUGCUGACGCUCCACUCUAUUAUAACUGAAUUGUCUACCCAUUGAUGCUCAUGCAAAACAAAGGUGGGAAGGUGCGUGGAAGCAUCCCCACAAAUAUAUGCAGGUUUGGCAGAAUAUAUAUAAGUUCAUGUCUUUCUGAGUAGGGGGUGGGUGUUCUCUGAGAUGGUGAAGCCAACACAGCAUUCUCAGUUCUCACACUCCUUCACUUCUCUACCACACUUUACCACAGGACAAGCUAACCCCCACUCCCUUCUUAAAUGGCAUACCUUUAAUUGUACUGAAGUCAUUCACCAUGAUUAACUGACAGAUUCAAUGCAGUGGAAAUCUAUAUUUAAAAAUCUGGAAACCCAAGCUCCAUUUUUCAAGUUUAUGUCUUUUGACACCGGUAUACAGUGACUUCACAUGCAACCAUCUUCCUCUUUCCUAUGAUAUGGCGUAAAGGCUGCUGAUCUUAACGACCUUAUUAGCAACGUACUUCUGGCAUUUGCUAACAUGAGCCGUCUGCUUUUGGGUGCUGUACUGGGUCACCAUUUUAUUGGUGUAAUGGUCUUUUUUGAUCCCUUUAUAUUCUGGAAUUGUUCAAAUAUUUUUUUGCUUUUUAUUUCCUAAUUUGGCCUGACUCGUGAUUUAUUUGCUUAUUCAACACAUUUGUUAUUGAGGGUCUGCCAUGUGCCAUGGAUGUUCUAGGGACGGUAAAUGCAGCUCUGCCAAAAACAGAUGAGGAUCUCUGCCCUCGUGGAGUUUACCUUCCAAAGGAGGGCAGUAAACAUUAAAUGAAAUAUAUGCCAUGCCAGAUGGCGAUGAGACUUCUGGAGAAAAAGAAAGCCCACUUGGGGGGGUGGACAGUGCUGGAGGAAAGGGUUAUAGUUUUAAAUAAGGGUGCACUUUUGGUUUUGCUUUUUAAAUCAAGGCAUAAGGGUAGACAUGACAUGGUUUUUUAUCACCUGUAUUGGGAGGCAUAAUUGUAAAAAGAAGCUUUGCUGGCAGGACAUUUUGAAUAAGAGGUUUGUGGGGAAGGGUUAGCAAUUUCAUAAGGUUUUUCUUUACAUUGUUUAUCAGCUAGAGCUCAUACACAUGGCUGAAGAAAAGGAAUACAUCGUUCACCUGAAAUGCGGACGUGAAACCAAGGUUACCAAGACGUUUGUUCAGAAAGCACUGGUUACAACUCCAAGCUGCCUGACCCAAACUCCUGCCUUAGAUCGCUUAGCUGCCAUCUCAGAGGAGAACGGCAUUGAAAGCGUGUGUGCGCGUGCCCAGCAGUGCUUGGCAGUUAAUCUGCCAGAGAGAGCAUUUUCACUAAUGAAUGAGUCCAAGGCUUUUUUCCCCCUUCCUUUAACUAACCAGUUCUUAUUAUAAUAAGUUUAGAAAUUA